GUGGCGUAAAUGGAAUUUCUCAUAUGUAAGGCUUUCCUUCCUUGUUGUGGUUCUGCUGCAGAUGCAACUUACACUCACUGCACUGAUGUAAUCUGGAAGCUAACUCAAUGGACUAACCAGAAUGAGGAGUGUAAAAUAGGGUGGACUAGGAAUUGUCCUGAGGCAGCUGUAUCUCAACUUCAUGCUCUGUAAAUUGCACCAAUUUUUUAACGAUUGUGGAUCCAGAAGUCUGAACAGGCACUAUUCGCAUCAUCCGGAGACUGAUUCAGAUGGGCGUGAGUGACAGUGACAGCAAUCAGUUACAGAUCCUUUAAAAAUAGUUCAUGGAUGUUGAUGAGAACCAGUAGCCUGUUCAGAAGGAGCCAUGAAAGAAAUAGAAGAGGGCAGCUGUAUUCUGUACAGUGAUUUUUUGUUCAUCAGAAGAUGAUCUGGAAAUCAGGAUAUGCACCCUAGCUGAAGGUGGCUAAAAUCCCAGAUUUAUGGAGCAAAGGGGCUGCAGGGAUGGCCUUUGUAAGCAGAGCCCAGUAUCUGUCCCAUAUCAGAUCAAAUCCAGCUUCAGCUGCUUCAACGGGGACUUACUGCUGCCAGAGAUGAGACAGACAAGAGUGAUGCUGAUCGUUCCUCUGUGAGAGCAGAUGGAAGAAAGGAAAAACUGCUGCAUGACAGCCACUGGGAGAGGAGUGAGGACACAUGAGAGAAGCAGCCUGCACCCACUAAGUUCCUUUAUGCUGCUACAGCUUUGAAUGACCUCAGACCCAAUGAUGUUCUGUGCUAGAAGUAACUUCCUCCAGUCUUAUAAGUGGCACCUGCAUUUACUCAAAAGGAAACACGGCUUCAGAAUUUCAUAUGCAGAUAACGUACUCACAAACUCUAACAUAGACAAACAGUGAAGCUGAAUGAAUCCCUCACUCUGUAUCACAGCAUCUGGCUUCUGACAUCUCUGUGCCUUGAUGUCCAUCAGAACUGAAGAUCUGCAGGGACUCUCAGCAAUGCUCCUUCCCAGGGAAUAUGAGAUGGAACCCAGCAUGCUUGUACUGCUGUGCACCAGUUCUGUCACCUCGUUUACAGGUGUGCAAGCAAAGCUCGCCUUAGUGACACGACACAGUGUGACAUACUGAUGGUGUUGGGGUCAGCGGGAGUUGGAAAGCACUCAGCACCUAGCAGGGAGUGAGCAAUCAUCACCCUGAAGUCUUGAAGUAUGCAACUCUUGCCACCUAUUCCUGCCUGGGAGGUCAACCUAAAUUUUUAGAAGUGGGGGUUGUGCAGAGAGGUAGACAGAUGUGUACAGCAAGUCUGAAUGAGUUGGUGGCGCUGCCCCUGCGCUCUGUCUUCUGCAUCCAUGGUUCAUGCUAGCAUUGGGAAAUUCUGCAAGUCUGGUGGAUGUGGUCAAAAAAGACAAAUUACAGGAGAGGAUAAUUUUGCCUGCAGUUAUGGAAGGCCAGAUUUACUCUUGUUGUUUUGGCUCUGUGGGAUGCCACAUUGUUUCAUAUAACAUGUUAGAGUGUUUUAUUGUAUCCCUCUCUCAUGCUGCGCUCAU